GUGGGGAAUUUUGGACAAUGGGCGCAAGCCUGAUCCAGCAAUGCCGCGUGCAGGAAGAAGGCCUUCGGGUUGUAAACUGCUUUUGUACGGAACGAAAAGGCUCUGGUUAAUACCUGGGGCUCAUGACGGUACCGUAAGAAUAAGCACCGGCUAACUACGUGCCAGCAGCCGCGGUAAUACGUAGGGUGCAAGCGUUAAUCGGAAUUACUGGGCGUAAAGCGUGCGCAGGCGGUUUUGUAAGACAGACGUGAAAUCCCCGGGCUCAACCUGGGAAUUGAGUUUGUGACUGCAAAGCUGGAGUGCGGCAGAGGGGGAUGGAAUUCCGCGUGUAGCAGUGAAAUGCGUAGAUAUGCGGAGGAACACCGAUGGCGAAGGCAAUCCCCUGGGCCUGCACUGACGCUCAUGCACGAAAGCGUGGGGAUCAAACAGGAUUAGAUACCCGGGUAGUCC
rnacentral:rRNA from 1 species